CGGGAAUUUUGGGCAAUGGGCGAAAGCCUGACCCAGCAACGCCGCGUGAGGGAUGAAGUAUUUCGGUAUGUAAACCUCGAAAGAAUGGGAAGAAUAAAUGACGGUACCAUUUAUAAGCUCCGGCUAACUACGUGCCAGCAGCCGCGGUAAUACGUAGGGAGCAAGCGUUGUUCGGAUUUACUGGGCGUAAAGGGCGCGUAGGCGGCGCGGUAAGUCACUUGUGAAAUCUCUGAGCUUAACUCAGAACGGCCAAGUGAUACUGCUGUGCUAGAGUGCGGAAGAGGCAACCGGAAUUCUUGGUGUAGCGGUGAAAUGCGUAGAUAUCAAGAGGAACACCUGAGGCGAAGGCGGGUUGCUGGGCCGACACUGACGCUGAUGCGCGAAAGCCAGGGGAGCAAAC
rnacentral:rRNA from 1 species